CUCAUCUCGAGCAAAGCCAGAGGUUCUCAUCUUGUGAUGCUAAAUUGAGGCUUGGCUCUGGCAGGCAGAAACCUGCUCUCAUCGUUAGGGAGGUGUUUCUGCUCUCUUUUACGCUAAUGACUUCCCGAGCUGCUUUCUGAACAGCUGUUCUGUCCUGCCUUCUGAUCACCCUGCAAAGGGAAGUGAAUGAGAAAUCAAUUAUAAAAAUCAAAAGCAAAACCAGGAGGCUUGCAGUCAUGCCUCUCUAAAGCUAAUUAUAAACUAACAGGAUUAAACAGGUACAAACACAUUUGCCAUUGAGUAAGAAUCAAUAAGAGGCUAUUUAGCCUCCUAACUAGGCUGUUUGCUGAAGUACCCCGAGUAGCUAGUGACUACGCUUGAUGACUGCCUGCCAGUUCAUCCUGUAUGUAUUAUUUGGCCACCAGGUUUUCCAUUUGUCUCUUUCUUGACAGAUGUGUUUGCUCAGAGUGCAGUAUUGAACAGCACGGCCAUGGCUGCGGUGUUUGUGAACACUGAGCUUGGUCCCUGUGUUAUCUGGCAGUGAGGUAUCAUUUGGUGCAGCUGUACCUCCUGUGUCUAUUGAUUCAUCUCUUUAAUACCGGAUUGAGGAAGGGGUUGCUGGGUUGGGAGAAUCGUUCCCUCCCCAGCAAGGCUUUUCCAGCAAUUCUGCUUCUUGCUGCAGUAGCAGUUGGCGCAUAUCUGCUCUUUUCUUGUGAUAGCACUGCCCCCACUCUCACUUUUUCCACCUUUAUUAAGUCUGUUGUGUUGAAAGAAUAAGUUCUGGGCAAACUGAACGUGAAGCCCCUGCAGGAAGUGGUGAAAAGAACUCUGCGUGGAGAACAGAAAAAGACCGAGAUGAAAACAUACAUCACUGGCUGGCUUCCAACAGGCUGUGUGUGCAGCCUUGUGCUCCAAGGGCUUUAGAGAGGUUACUUCAUCAGAGAACACACAGAGAUCGGGGCUUGAGGUGAAAAACUUUUCAUUUCUAAUCCUACCUCUGCCACAGAGACUGGCAUCGAGUGAAUUAUUUACCUUACCCGCACCUUUGUAUUGUUCUCAGGCAGAUGUGAGCUGCUUACCUCUCCUAGCAGAACCAGUUCGGUGUUUGUGUGGCUUCCCAAGUAGUGCUGUUAAACUGGGGACACUCCUGGGAUGUAGCCCACCUUGGAGUAGUGCUGCCUGCAGUCACCGCGGGGAUGAGGCAAGAAAUCAAGUGGGCAGCAACUGCACAGAUUGAGGAGGGGAGUGGAAAUGAGUGCAGCACGUGGAGGAGUGUGGGGAUGGUUGGUGGCAGCAGGGAAAGCUGCUACAGUUGUCACCUCAAAUGGGCUCAAAUGGCUACGCAUUCAGAGAAGGCUUUAAAUAAAAUCAAGUAGAGCUGUGGGUACAACUUGCUCAGAGUGCCUCAGGACUCACAAGUCCAAAGGAUGCACGGGGUGCGGGGGAGAGACAAAAGAGGCAGUGCCACAGUCAGCGGUGCUUGCAGGGUAACAAAGCCUCCCUGUGCUGUGGAGGUGCAGUGAGUGUUGUUUAGAGCUUUGCCUUAUAUCUCUGCUUUUUACUCUUUAAUCCCUUUGAAGUCCCCAAAGCAUGUUGAGGCAGACUUGGACAGUGUCCUGCUCUGAAGACUCGAGAGGCAAAUCAUCCGUGCAGCCCUUCAUUUAGCUUGGUCGUAAAAGAACCAAUUAAAUUUCUGUCCAAGUUCUUUUCUUUUUUUUAAAGAAAACUUCAAACGUGAAUGUGUUUGUGGUGCGUCUGUUGAGCAGGAUGUUAAAUUUUUAUAGAGCAAGAGGCCUGUCUUCUCCCACUCAGAGCAAGGGUUUUGUUUUACAGUACACGGUAAGAAGAAGUCUCAAUGCAGCUGAAAGCAAGGUGCCCUUAAGACAAGUCAGGUACUCUGCUAGGAAGGAGGUCAGAGCUGUCUGAAGCGUUUUUUUUUUCCUCCUUUUUAUCUUUUCUGGUGGUAGUUUGUAGUUUGAAAGGUCUUACAGUAACAUUAGGUGCUCUCUUCCACAGAUCUCACUCAAUUUGUAGGAAAUGGUAAUCUUCAUAAUUCUGAUAUUUCCUGGGAAAUUGGGUUGCAGCACACAUGUAGAUGGACGGUGUCAUCAUCCUGUGAGCGUCUCCUUAGGAAGCCCAGGGUGCAGAUCAUUAUUGCAUUUUAUAUUUACCACACCCUCAAUUAAUAAAGAAGCGGGUGGCAACCAGCUUUUGCAAUAGGUUGGAAAUAAAGCUUAGAGGCAGCCCCAGCAAGAAGCUGAAUAAAUCUUCCCAUUUAUAGUGGCUUGUUGCCGUGAGAUGCCCAUGGCCCAUAGGAUGCACUUCUUGCAACAACCUAGCUUUUGAAAAACCCAUCCCUGGCUUUUGACAUAUUUCUAUCCAUGGGCACACCAAAACCCAAGGACGGUGCGAUCCUUCCUUUCCUUGAAAGCGUGUGCUGGGAAUAAAAGCACCUGUGGACUCUGUUACAGCUGCUUGGAUUUCAGUGGCAGCUCAGGGUCCUGUACGUUUACUGUAAGCUUGGAUCUGGAAGGUGUUUUGCAAAUACCUCUUCAGUCGUGUUCUCUCCUAACCCCACGCGGUGCAGACUAACCAGGGUCUGCCAGGGUUGCCUGACCUCAUGAUAUCAGAGCUAAAGGAGCUGCUUUUGUCUGGAGAGUAAGUAGCACGAUUUUAUAAACAUCCUCUCAAUCCCUGACUUCCUUCCCAAGGAAACAAACCUCAGCUCCAGUGGUAGAACAACAGAAAAGUUCCUGUGCGAGCCAAAGCAAGCCAGGAGAGGGUUCCCUGCUGAGUCCCUCUCUCUGUUUUCCACAGUAGCUGUGUCCCCCCGUUGCGGGUGCAGCCGGAGCUGUGCACACCAGCAGUUGCUGUCCCUGCUGUCCUCGCAGAGCACGCGCCGUGGGUGGAGAAGCUGAUUCAGGGAGCUCAGCCUUGACUUUUCCAUCUCCUGGCAGCUUUAGCUGCCAAACGGGGGAUUGGGAAUCUCGUAUAGGCUGUUGCUUCAAGUGCUGCCCAAAUCACAGGGGCCAGGGAGCUGUUACUGACUUAUCUUUGUUUUUAUAGCAUGUUUGGAAACCGUUGAUAGCCAGCAGGUUCCUAGAAGAUAAACCGAGGCUGCGUAGCCCGUAACAACUUGGUUUCUCUUUGGGUACAGGGUCAUUUUUCAAAGCUGCUGGCAAAGAGCCUUCCCCUCGUGCUGAGGAGCAGUCCUUUACUCAGCCCUGCUGAGAGCUGCACCUUCGUGGCUGUCCAGGAGGGGGGAGCCCAGCCUCGUUUUUGAGACAGGGCAGUGUUCUGCUGGUAAGUGCAGGCAGUGCUGCUGAGGUGCCUGAAUAGCUCUGCGUGCUGUUCUCCCAGCUGGAGCAGUUGAAAUCCCCGUCAGGCACCGUGGUGAAUAAUUUGUAUGCGGCUAUGGAAAUGCACUCUGCGUGCUCCUUGAAGAAAAGGAGACCUCAGGGUUAGCGAGUUCAGCGUGUUAAUUGCAGGAUCCAGCCACUGAUACUGCCUGUGAUUGAGACUUCUGGCUGGUAGCGUGGUGGUUGUAACGCUGGGGACGACGUCUGUGCUCCAGCUGCGUGCUGAGAUGAGUGAGCAGGCCUUCGAGGGGAACCGUAGGUGUGUGAAGGAUGCAGGAGUAGUUUUUUUGUCAUCAGUCAUUAACUUUUAAGCAGUUGCCUAAGUAGUCUCGAUCUCACACACACGUUCAUAGUGAGUCAUACUUGGGUCUCUGAAAAAGCAGGUUCUAAAUCUAGAAAUAAUCAAAGAGAUGUGGCCCCCAAAGAGUUACUGAAGUGGCUCUAAAGGCAAGAAUGCUCUCUCCUCUCCACCGAGCGUAAUGUUUCCCAGUUCAAAGCAUCUGCCUUUUUGAAAUUUUGCCCUAGAAUUUCCUCCAAAUGCAAGAGCCUUAAAAUAGUCUGGCUCAUUUGGCUUCCCCUUCCUGGUGCGAUAUUUCAGUAGAGCCUGCAGACAAUGCCGUGAACUUCAGAAAUUAUCUCCCUAAUGAGCCUUUUAUGGGAGGAAACAACAGCCGUGGGUGGAACAUUCCUCUGCAGGGCGUAACAAAAUUUUCCUUGGGAGUCCCAGACUUGGGCUAUUUCUGCUGCCUUGGGAGAGGCUGGGAAUGCAGGAGCCGCCGUAGUUCUGGCGUAACGAUACGUGGCUCGAGCUGUGCCUGCACUUUCUGGGGAGCCAGCACUGUCCGAUCCUUUAUUUUUUCUUUUUUUCUUGUAAGGUUUUUCUCAGAUCUGCUGCUGGACUGGAGGCUGGGCUGACCUUGCUAGGAGCUCCAGUCCAGUUGUGGUAUAAUUUCCUCUUUGCCCCAGGGUGUCGUAUAAAAAGUUCCCAUAGAUUUUUCCACUGGAUGUGUAACGCACUCAGUGCGUUUCUAUUUGUCACUCUCUUUAGUUGUGUUUAUUGCUGAACCUUCUACAUGGGCUGGCUGUAAUUUUUUUGACAGCAGCUGACAUGCCUUUACUGCUUGUUUGGCUGAAGCUGCUUCACCUAUCCUGCUCUUGUCCUUGUACCAGGCAGCCUCUGCGUUUUCAGCCCAGUUUAACCCUUAACAGUGCCUGUGCAAGCAGGGCACAGGGGCCUGUGUCAAUAAAGGUGAGGCAGCUUUGUGUGAAGCCUGCUUUGGGAGGAACUGAGACCUCGAGGGGCUUUCCAAGGUCCCCGGUGGUUUUGUGGCUUCAUAGUUUGACUCCUUAAAACAAACAAAACCUCUUUGUCUGUGGCCCAUCUUUCCCUUCCUGCCCUGUGCACGCACAAAGUAAAUAACUGAAUUUCAAUGGGUAAGGGCUGCUCUAAACAAAAGCUUUGCUUCCAGAACGGAAUAAUUCAGUUGGAUGGAGCCUUUGAAGAUGAAGUCCAACUGCCUGACCUCUGCAGGGCUAACCAAAAGUUAAAAUGUAUUAACGAGGGCCACAUCCAAAUGCCUCCGAGCACUCAGCGUGUCCUGGUGCGGUAGGGUCCUGCCUCAGUCAGUGCUAGGACCAGAGUUAAGCGCUAACUGGAAGAGGAAAGGGAUGUGCUCUGGGCUGGGAAGAGCCGUGCGUGUUUCUCAUGGCUGAAGAUAGGAGCUGAUAACUGGGAUUGCUUUCUUUGGCUCCUGCUUCUUUGCUUUGCUCCAUGAGAACAGUAACGUGGUGUUUUUUUCUUCACUACAGCCAUGCAAAAAAGGGGUGGCAGCUGCUGUGGUUAAAGAACACAAAUAUAUUCUUGUUGCCCAGCCUGAACCCGGCGCAGCAGUAGACAGCUUAAUUAGCCAGCCCAGGCUGGGUAACCAUUGCUGUCCUUUCUCAUUGCAUGUAAAAAUAAACACGGCUCAGCUCUGCAGCUGCGUGAUCGGGAAACGUGUUGCAGAGCUGAUAAAGGGAGGAGAAGAGAUGAAGAUGGGAGGAAAAGAAAUGAAGAUGGACGGCGAGCAGAAAAAGUGAUGUGCAGAUGCUGCAAGUGGCAGAGAAGAGCAGCAGGGAGCGUGGCCCUCCCCUGCUGGUGGUGUCAGCCUGGCUGCUGGGUGCCCGUUUAGCUGGCACGUCCUCAGCUGCAGGGCAGCCGGCGGGUGGUGUCUCUGGAGUCAGAGCUUGUCCUCCCCUGCUCCGAGUGCUGCCUUACAGGCAGCAGCAGCCUGGCAGGCAGAGCUGAUUUUGUGCAGCGUCUGCAUAAACACGCUGAUCAAACAGCGCCCUCGCUGCAGCUUCCCUUCCGACCUCCACCUGUUUGUGUGGAGGUGGCUCUUUGGGCUACAGGUGGUGUUUGGCUCGAAGCUGAGGUAGCCAGUGCUUUCUGAUCUCCUGCCGUAGGUACUUUGGUUUCAUUUCUGCGUUUAUUUAAAUAAAGUGCUCUCUUCCAGGCGUCCAAGUGCACGCUGCUUCCUUGGCUGCAGGUUUGGCUCGUGGCCGGUGCUGCUGUGCCUCGAUGAGGGGCCUGGGCUCUGCUGGGAUCGUUUGUGUGAGCAUUGAGAGCAGACAAAAUCACCUUGAGAGCUCAAUAACUAAUUAAGCCUAUGUCUGAAAAAUACUUGGGGGCUUUUCUGUGUCACCACCCCUGAUGUUGUAGGCACCAACUCUGGCCUAUUCCUUCUCUCCCCCCAGGGCUGAGCUGUACUGUGUUUGUUUUCUAUUGAACGGUUCAGUAUUCUGAAAUACAAACAAGCAAAUGUUAGAUUUCACUGUUUUAAGGUGAUGAAUGGAUGAGGGUUAAAUACCGUGUCUGAGGCUGUGUAAUUUUAUAGAUUAAAAAAAAAAAAAGUCCUGCCACGGAUUCUGUAAGGCUCCAGCCUGGUGACUGAAGUCCCAAUAUUCUUUUGUAACCAGAGAAUAAUAAACAGAAAUUGAGCUGCCAAAAUAAAUCAAAUGUGAGAUUCAUUUAGAGUCACUUCCCUAGUGAAUUAUGACAGCUGGACAAUGUCCUUCCCA